CGGCCGAGGGCGGAGAGGCGGCGCGAAUGUGACCUCAGCGGCCGCCGCGCUCCCUCCCGCCCUCUCCCGCUCCGGGCUCGGGUUUCUAGGACUGCCUGGAGAAGUGUGUCUUGUGCACAGCUCUGGAAUGCAUUUGGCAGGCUGACGAGCAGCGAGGGGCAGCAUCCUGGAGGGAGGAGGGGUGCAGCUCGCCCGCGCGCCGCCGGCAGGUUUCCUCCCGGCCUGGAAGACCUCCGGCACCCGCCACUCGGCCUCCCGGCGCGCUAACCUUGCCCAGCCAGCAGACCUGCUUAGAGCAUCCAAUCGCAUGCGGGGCCUGCUUAGGGUCAGAGAGUUUAUUCCUUCACCAUAGGUUCCAGAGAAAGCUAUCCCCAGAUGCAAGUGAUUGCUAGGAAGUAGAAAAGGUAUUUGUCAAGCAAAAGUCCGUGGAGCAGGUCUGAGGAUAGUACUAGAGUGUUAAAUGUUACUGAGACAACUAGUUGGCAUGGUGAUCCAACCUGACAUAUUUAGUAGGUUUUUGAAAAGUUGCUUGAAAUUGUAACAUUAGGACAGUCAUGAAACUUACGGGGGGGGGGGGGGGUAAAAGAAUUUUUUUUUACCAGAUGUGGAAUAUAAUAUUUAUUUCUUGCCACUGGAAUGAUAUGUUCUGGAAAAGAUAAAUUAUAAAUACCCUUUCUUUCCAGUAACGUUUGUUUCUAACCUGAUAGAUAAUUGACACACAUUUAGAGGGCUGGGGGUAUAAUUCCUUAGAGACCCUGGAUUCAGUGACUAGCAACACUAACUAGGAAUCAUCAUUUUGAAUUAGGUUCUCUGACCAUUCCCCUUCCACACUAAACUCUUACAACUAGAAAAGAAAACCAACAAGUUCUAUCACAUGAUUCUCUCCCUAGGGAGCCCUACGUUGUGGAAGGAAGACAACAGUAUAGGACCAUCAGCAGGACCGGACAGAGAGGGGCACGUAAGCAGUAAUUACUGGAUGGCAUAGUAAUUCUACUAAAAAUUAAAAUGCCACUUAUUGGAAUGGUGUGUGAACACUCUAAAGCAACCCGGGAAGAAGACAGCAGUCAAGAAGACCAAGGAAGGAAAUGGAGGAGGGAUGACCCCACCAUUACAGGCAGGGAAGGACUGACCAAAGAGACAGAAAUGUAGUCUAGGAAAUGUGUCAUCUUAGAAAGGAACGGGAAGGGGCUGGAGAGGUGGCUCAGAAGUAAAGAGCAGUGGAUGCUCUUUCAGGGGACCUGAGUUGGCCUCCUAAUGUCUUCAGGUACCUCCUAACUGCAUGUAACUCCAGCUCCGGGAGAUUCUGGAUUCUUCUGGUCUCCACGGCACUGCGUUCACGCGCACGCGCGCGCGCACACACACACACACACACACACACACACAAAUUAAUCUUAGAAAAGCAUAGGAAGCCUGAUUUUUUGUUUGUUUGUUUGUUUUGGGGUUUUUUUUUUGUUUGUUUUGUUUUGUUUUUGAGACAGGGUUUCUCUGUAUAGCCCUGGCUGUCCUGGAACUUGUAGACCAGGCUGGCCUUGAACUCAGAAAUCCGCCUGCCUCUGACUCCCGAGUGCUGAGAUUAAAGGUGUGCACCACCACACCCGACAAGGAAGCCUGUUUUAAGAAGUGAUUCCAUGGAGGAGUUCUGCGGCGGCUCAGGGCUUGACUAAACAGUGGACCUCAGACAAGAGAGGCUAAACCAGGCUGCAGGUGACAGGAAGAAUUGAAUAAACUGAAAGCAAAGGGCAGCCUUCUAAUUACGCUUCGUGGCUAUGUGGACAACCUGGAGAAGUCUGGAAACAAGCCAGAAGCCCGAAGCCAGCAGUAGAGCUCUGACUGGCUUGUAUGCCUAGAAAGGAAGGGCUCUUCUUUCGCCUCACGGGCACAAAUGGGACCCACGAGCGCCGAUUUCAGACUAUUCUGAUCCCUUCAAAAAGAAAGUUAGGAGUCCAGGCUACUUCACUUUGGUGAUAGUAAUCAAACCCUAAUCACGGUGCAGCCACAAGUCACAGAGACCGAAAUAGCAGACUUAUGACAGACAAGGAUGGAGACAGCUAAGGAACUGGCUAUUAAUCACCAGUCCCUCUGCUCACAGCCCAUUGGACCCGAGGGUGAAGGAUGAGGAGGAUGGAAGAAAAUGGGAGUGGCGCUUGCUGCAAAGGGUCUCGAAGGGUCUCAGCACCUGCGAACUGGCUCCAAUCCAAACUCCACUAUUCAUGGUCAAGUUCACAUAGGGCUUGGGGUUCUAACAAGAUGUGACUAAACUUACGUUUUCUAUCUUAUUGAUUGUUGUUGAUGCACGUCUGGUGGUACAUGCUUGAAGAACACAGACACCCUGAGAAGAAAGACAUAGCUCCCCAGAUUCCAGCACGCACUUCUCUGUGAGCUACCACUGUAGCUGAAGAUACAGGGCUCAGGAGGAACACUUGGCCUUCGCUCUGAACUUCAGGCCCACGUAACCAUCAGCCGACAUGACACUGCAAAGGCACCUUAGCUCUGCUGUCCCAGAUGGCCAAGCCAACCUUAUUCCAGAAGCUACUUCUCCUGAUGUAAGAACCAGACACAAAGGACAACCUCUGCCUCACCCUCCUUCACACAACACUGAGUCUGUCAUCUUUGAAGCAUUUCUCAAGCCAUGUUUAUUCCCCUGGCCUACGUGGAACACAGCCAGGGUACGGAACACAACCUCAGCACCGGUCUGCUUUCCUCUCCCCAUUUCUGGUCUUUCUCAGAUGCCCAGAGCUCCUCUGUCCCAAUGACUGCUUAUCAAAGAUCUCACUGUGUCCCCACCCAAGGGGUCUUUGGCCACCCUGUGAAGUCCUAGUGGCCUGGAGUUUGCCCCCUUUCCCAGACACCUUAGGGUUCCUGCUGCAGCUCCAGAACUGGGGGAGCAGGGUUGGGGGUGAGUGUGUGUGUGUGUGUGUGUGUGUGUGUGUGUGUGUGUGUUGACUCACCCUGCAGUAUUCUCUCCAUCUGCACAGGUCCCCAGUCUCUGAGACUGAAUCACCCCUCUUUCACUAUGCCUCUGCACAGCUGCCCUUGUGCUCCCUCUCCUUGCCCCGCCUCUUUUUAAGACAGUAUUAUGCAGCCCUGGCUGUCCUGGAACUUAUGUAAACCAGCCUGGCCUUGAACUUGCAGAGAUCCACCUGCCUUUGCCUCUGCCCCUGCCCCUGCCCCUGCCCCUGCCCCUGCCCCUGCCCCUGCCUUUCUGCCUCUGCCUCUGCCUCUCUGCCUUUCUGCCUCUGCCUCUCUGCCUCUGCCUCUCUGCCUCUGCCUCUCAAGUGUCAGGGAUUAAUGCCUGCCACCUCCCCAGUCCCACCCCUCUCCAUCUACCAUGUGGGUUCCACGGGGCAAACCCAAGUCAUCAGGCUUGUUGGCCAGUGCCUUUAUCCACUGAGCCAAGCCGCUUGGUGUGUCUUUGAUGGUGAUUAUUUACAGGAGCUAUUCAGCAAGGUUAAAUGCUGGCAACCCAAUGAGGGGGUCUCUUGAUCCAAAACUGAGAAGUUGAGGCACUAUUUCAGAAUGACCAAAGACAGUAGAAGAAUCUAGAUAUGUCGAUGAUGAGAACAAUGAUAACUCCAAAAGCUGAGGGAAAUUAACUCAAAAUCUUCCAGCUUCCUUUUCCUUACCUAGUUUGGCGGACUCCAACUCUUGGGAUAGCUUUUUUUCUGGCCCCAAACUCACCUGAUUCGUCUGUCCACUGCCACACUGAAGAAUGAACAGCUGUCUCAGAGAGCUUGGCUCCAGAGCUCUGCAAAAAGAGGACACCUUGCCUUGAGCUGUGUUUCCAGAAUGUAUUGCAGCCCCCAGAGUCAUGUACUGUGACCAGGUGAGGACAUGCAUCUUCUGUUCUCCUGCACCCAGGGCCCCAGCAACCAAGGAUCUGGGGACAUGGCGGGUGUUUGGCAGGUUCGCACUCUGAAAAUAUUUGAUGAGACUCAGUAUAUGCUAAAUAAACACUGGAUCAAGUU
rnacentral:lncRNA from 1 species